GACGAACGCUGGCGGCGUGCCUAAUACAUGCAAGUCGAGCGGACGGAUGGGAGCUUGCUCCCAGACCGUCAGCGGCGGACGGGUGAGUAACACGUGGGCAACCUGCCUGUAAGACUGGGAUAACUCCGGGAAACCGGGGCUAAUACCGGAUAACUCUUUCCCUCACAUGAGGGAAAGCUGAAAGAUGGCAUCUCGCUAUCACUUACAGAUGGGCCCGCGGCGCAUUAGCUAGUUGGUGAGGUAACGGCUCACCAAGGCGACGAUGCGUAGCCGACCUGAGAGGGUGAUCGGCCACACUGGGACUGAGACACGGCCCAGACUCCUACGGGAGGCAGCAGUAGGGAAUCUUCCGCAAUGGGCGAAAGUCUGACGGAGCAACGCCGCGUGAGUGAUGAAGGUUUUCGGAUCGUAAAACUCUGUUGUCAGGGAAGAACAAGUACCGGAGUAACUGCCGGUACCUUGACGGUACCUGGCCAGAAAGCCACGGCUAACUACGUG
rnacentral:rRNA from 1 species